GAUGAACGCUGGCGGCAUGCCUAACACAUGCAAGUCGGACGGGAAGUGGUGUAUCUUGUGGCGGUCGGGUGAGUAACGCGUAAGAACGUGACCUUGGGAGGGGCACCCCAACUGGCAACGGCUACUACUAGACCGCAGGCCGAGGAGCAGAAAAAGGAUUCAACCCCAGGAGGGGCAAGCGUCUGAUUGUCUAGUUGGUGCGUAAAUAGCUUACCAAGGCGAUGUUCAGUAGCGGGUCGGAGAGGGUGAUCAGCCACACUGGGACUGAGAGCCGGCGCAGACUCCUACGGGAGGCAGCAGUGGGGAAGUUGCCGCAAUGCGGGAAAGGCUGACGGGGCAAUGGCGCGUGGAGGUAGAAGGCCCACGGGUCGUGAACUGCGUUUCCCGGAGAAGAAGCAAUGACGGUAUCUGAGGAAUAAGCAACGGCUAACUCUGUG
rnacentral:rRNA from 1 species